UACUUGAAAUUAGUCGAGCUAUAUUCUUCAGUCGCCAUAAGUUCCGAUGAGUUUCGACGUUUUCGUGCCAAGUUUUGUUUAGUUAUUGUAUAAUAAGAAAAGGUUCUCGUGAAAUUUCACAUCACAAAAGUGUAUUACUACUUCCUGAAUAUUCAGCCCGUCCAAACGGACUGCGGCCCUUAAAACUAUUUGGAAUGCGCUAGCAAACCAUUGCUAGAGUGAGAGACGAUUUAAAAAUGCAAAAUUGGAGUCAAUGGCAAUUGUCAGCUGGUGCUGUCGCUACUCCAAUGCCACAACCACCAGUUGGUUAUGCUGCGCCAGGAGCAGAUCCUAUGGCUAUGAUGCAAGCAUAUAUGCAAUACUAUAAUCAGCCUGCACCUAGUGGAUACACAGCAGAACAAUGGGCUGCAGCUCAACAACAAAAUUGGACUCAGUGGCAGCAAUGGCAGCAACAAUAUCAACAAUGGCAGGCACAAUAUGGAGAGAAGUAUCAAGAAACAAUGAAACACAUGUCAACCCAGAAUAUGAGCUUAGCCAAUCAGAUGCCACAGCUACCAAUUGUGCAACCCCCACCACCUCUUCCAAAAGAGGAUACGAAACCACCAUUACCUCCAACUACUAUGAACACAUAUCAAUUUACAAGCAUGCCUCCGCCGCAUCAAAAUAAUCUUCCAUUAUUUCCUGUUAAGCAAAACGCGAAUACUCCAAUGCAACAAACGAAUAUACAAAAUUGCCCUCAGAAUCCUCCUUUACCUCCAAAUCAGCCACCAUUACCUCCUGAAAAUAGCAAUAGUAGUAAAGAAAAUAAUUUAAAUGGUAAACGCAAUAAUAACAUUGAUAGUGAAUCUAAUAGUGUUAAAAAGUUGAAAGUCGAAGAUGAAGAAUUAACUGAAGCCGAGAAAACAUUUGAUGCUCAAUUUAAACAGUGGGAGGAGCAAUUUAAUAAGUGGAAACAGCAAAAUGCUAAUCAUCCGGAUAAGACUCAAUAUAAACAAUACGAAGCAAAAUGGACAUCUUGGAGAGAAAAGCUUAUUGAACGACGUGAACAAAUGCGUAGAAAACGUGAACAACAAAAGCAAACUACUGUCAAAACAGAUGUCGAAAAGAAUAAAAAUUUGCCUGGUGAUGAUAAAAUAUUGAAUAUUUUGUCUAGUACUGAAAAUCAAGGAUUGAUUAACAAUUUAUUAGGAAUUGGAAAAACUCUUGGUUUAACUGGAAAACAAAAUAGUAAUGUACCUCCACCGCCACCGCCACCGCCGCCACCAGCUACAGAAACAAUAACGUCCAACGUUCAAACAGCGGCUACUAUAACAUCGUCUUCUCAAACAGUUUCACAGACAUCAACUGCCCAAUUACCAGUUAUGAAUAUGAUAUCUUCUAACGUAAUGACUUCGUCACCUUGGAAUUCUCAGCAAUGGGCAUCUCAAUAUAAUGCAGGAGUACCUAAUUUUCCUAAUUUUCAAACUAUGACUGGAGUACCUCCACCACCAUUCAGUAUGCCGCCAAUUCAGAUGCCACCCCCAAAUUUUACGCAACCACCACCAAAUUUUCCUGCUAUACCAAAUUUUUCUCAGCCACCUCCGGGUUUUGUUAACAAUGAUUCACGGCAGAAUCAUAAUAUACGGCCAUCGAUUCCAUCUAAUAUGCAACAAGGAAGGCCAUCUCCGUUUGGCUUGAAUACUAGUGGUGUUGCAGAUGGGAAUUCGAUACAUAACGAACGUCAAAAUCAAGCUGGUCCUAUAAAUAAUUUCGAUUCUGGAGGCCAUAUAAGUAAUUUUAGUGUAAAUGAUCCUGUUCGACAAAAAGGUAUAUCGACAGAACGUUUUGGUUCAGAUGGUAUUAACGAUCAACAAACUAAACAAUAUCGGUGCAAUGAUAUGUUUAAUCAACGAAACGAAAAUUAUAAAUUAAACGGUGAAUGUGUAUCCGAAAGUGAUCAAUUUAGAAGAGAAGAUAGAAAUUAUCAAGAACGUGGGAACAAUCAGUUUAAUCAACAAAAGAUGAAUUUGAACAAUGACAGAUUUGUUUCUGGAAAUGAUCGGUUUGGGCCAGGAAACAAUCGAUUCGGUAUAACUAAUGAUAGAUUUGGAUCUGGAAAUGAUCGAUUUGGAAUGCCAGAUGAUCGAUUUGGAUCUGGAGACAACAGAUUCAUUGCUGGAAAUGAUAGAUUUGGAGGUGAUAGGAUUGGAGGACAAGGAAGUGAAUCUCUUAAUGAUCGUUUCGGACCAAACAACGAUCGAUUUGGUCCAAAUAACGAACCUUAUGGUCCUGGAGGUGAUAGAUUUAAUAGGAAUAAUAUAGAUCGUUUUGAACAAAAAGAUGUAGGGGAUAAUAGGCGCGAUAAUUUUCAAAAUGCUUCAAGAAGUUUCAACAGGAAUAAUAAUCAAUUUGAAUCACCACCCGAUAAAUUUGCUUUAGAAUUGAAAAAACUUAUGGAAAAAAGAAGAGCUGCAAUAGAUAUAUUCAAACCGAGUUAUCUUGAUUCUGAUAAAAGUAGUAAUGUUGGUUCAUUAAGUGAAAGUUUCAAGAAGAUUACAGGUGAUUCUCCAUUCAUAAAAUCAACUGGAAAUCAAAAUUUUGGGCCUCGUGGACCUUCCAAUUUCGGACCAAGUGGACAAGGUAAUUUUAGAAUGGCUGGAGAUUUUAAAUUUCAAGGAAAUCCCGAGUUUGGAUCACGUGGUACUACAGGAAUUGGACGCAACAACUCUUUCGAUUCACGGGAUGCUUCAACUGGAAUAACUUCAUUUAGAGGACCGAAUUUUAGUCCACAGCAAGUACAAGAUUUUAUAAAUACCGAAUCAAGAUCAAAUAUGACGAAUCUUGAAACCGAUACAAAUACGAAUAAUGAAAAUAAAACUGAAUCUAUUACUGUAACAGAACAUACUGAGAUAAAUAAUUCUAAAUCGAGCGAUCAAAACGUCGAUAAUACGCAGAAGGAGGAUACAGAGAAUCAUUCGGUUCAAAAGGAUAUUUUAUUGUUAGAAAAGCCACCUUGGGUUGAUUCUCAACUUUCUGAAGAUAAUUUAUUGCAAAAGGAUAGCAUUAAGAAAGAAGAAAUUUCAUCUGGUAAAUAUGACUCCUCGGAACAGAAUCUACAGAAUACGUUUAAAGAACAAACAGAAGUAAAACAAGAACUAUCUAAUAAAGAUGGUAAUGAUGACAAUGAAAAAAAGGCAGAAGUAUUACCUUUUAUGGGAGAAAAUGAUCCAAAACCGGAAGAUUUAAAUAUGGAACCGCCACCUGAAUUACCUAAUUUGGGCCCUAUUUCUACUAACGAACUUAAUAAUGAUUCUCUACAAAGAACAGACGAAUCGUACGAGACAAAGGAAUCUUCUUCAAAAUCGUUCCCAAACAAUAAUAAUCCUGAAUGUUUUGAUCCUAGAGGACCGUUCGUUUCAACAUUCGGACCAAGAGGAAUGCAAUUUAGAUUAAAUGCACCUUUCUUGAGUCCCAAAAGUCCUAACGAUGUUAGAUUUCCUAUAUUUGAGCCAUUCAAUUCUUCUGGUCCAAAUUUGUAUCCAUUAGGCUCUCGAGGAUCUAGUGAUGGACAAUUUAGUCCAAGAGGUUCUAAUAAUGGACAGUUUGCUCCUCGAGGUCCUGAUGGACAAUUUGGUCCUAGAAAUGGCAAUGAUGGAAUAUUUGGUUCAAAAGGUUCUAAUGAUGGACUAUUUGGACCUAGAGUUGAUAAUCAAUUGGGGUUAAAACCUCCUAAUAAUGGACAGUUUGGUCCUAGAUCUUCGAAUAUUGGACAAUUUGGUCCCAGAUACGAUGGCCAAUUAGAUUUAAGAAGAUCUAACGAUGGACAAUUUGGGCUUCAAGGACUGAAUAAUAGGCCAUUUGUGCCCGGUAGACCAAAUGAUCCAUUAUUUGAUAAUCGAAGUCCUUGUGAUUUACAGUUCACGCCUAGAGGACCUAGUGAAGGACAAAUUAGAUUUUCAGGAUCCAAUGAUAGGCUUUUUGGUUCACGACGUAAUGAUUCAUCUUAUCAACGAAGUCCAAACAAUUCGAAAGUAAUAAAUGACGGAUUAUUUCCAAAUAGAUUUAAUGAAAAACAGUUUGAUAAUUCUACCGAUGGAUGUUUUGUUGUCCGAUCUUCAAAUGAUACGUACUUGAAUGUACGAGGUCCACUUAAUAAUUCGAAUGAUAAUUCUUUUCAAUCUCGGGGUCAAGGCGACAGAUUUUUUGAUAACAGACAAGUUGAUGUUAGAGGAAUUGAAGAAAUUAGAUCGAAAAGAUCACUCGACAACAAUACUGAUUCUAAAAUUCAUGGUAGUUUGGAAGUAAGUGGAGGAGGAACAUUUGAUAAUAAUGAGAAAAUAUCGAUCGAUGAAAAUAUGCAGCAAGGAAAAUUUGAUUCUAACGAUAUGCAGAAUCCAGGAUGGAGGCAAAUAUAUUCAAAGAAUAGUUUUGGAGAUAUCGAUCAAAGAUCCGGACGAGGUUAUUCUGACAAAUCUUUGCUUGGUCAAAAUGAAACGUUUAAUCAGAAUAUAGCAAAUAAUAUAGAACGACGAUCUCCUUCGGGUGGAAAUAAAUGUAACAUUCCUGAUAGAAGAUUAGAAAGAGGUAUGACCGAUAUGACGGUAGGUGAUUAUAAGACUUUGUUAGAUUCUGAUUAUACGAAAUUGGAUAAUACCGAUACGUAUCUAAAACGAUCCGUAGAUAAUCGACAAUCUCAAAUUAGAUGUUCGACGGUGAAGGAAUUUUAUAUAGAGAAGCAAUUUAAUUACAAUCAUGGCGGGGCUGGUGGUGAAAAAAAAUUUAUCGAGCAUAUACCUGCUAAAAUAAUUGAUUAUGCUCAUACUUCUCGAUCAUCGAUUCAAGAUCAUUUAACUCCUGUGCAAUGCUUCGAUUAUGGACAUGGUAAUUUAAAACCAUUGGUGCCAGAAAAUGAGAUGCAACCAAAGAAAGAUUUCAGAAAUUGGGAGGAGAAUGAGCAAAAUUUGAAAGAAUAUACCGAGAGAAUAAAAAAUUACGAAUAUCACGCGGGUAAGAUAGAAUUUAGCCGAUUACAAGGAGAUUAUAAGCAAAGAAGAAAUAGCGAAGAAUUUAUAGAUGAUAGAAAAUUUGAAAAAGGAGAACGUAAAGAAAAGGAAGAAUAUAAAGGAAAAGAACGCGAAGAUAGGAUAUUAUUUGAUCAUACAAAAUCUGACAAAGAUCAAGAUAAUCGAUAUGACAAGAAUUCUACUAAAGAGAGAACUCGAGAAAGAUGUGAAACUUCUCAAAAGGAAAUGAAUAAAGAAAAUGAUAAAGAAGAAGACAGAUCGAAAGGAAAUAUAAGCUGGCAGGAGAAUUCAAACAAGAACAUCAUAGAUACAAAGCCAUCAGAAACCAGUGUUGCAGAUACUACUCAGCAUAAUGUAUUGGAACCUGCACAAAAGACUUUGGAAUUGGCAAAAACACCAAAUUGCACAAUGGUGGAUGACUUAUUAUGUCCUCCAGGCCGUCAGAAUAGACCACCAAAAAUAGCUAUAAUUUUAAGAGGCCCGCCAGGCAGUGGAAAAUCUUUUGUGGCAAAACUUAUUAAGGACAAGGAAGUUGAACAAGGAGGUUCUGCACCAAGAAUAUUAAGUCUUGAUGAUUAUUUCUUGGUAGAGAAAGAAAUAGAAUCCACGGAUGAUAAUGGGAAAAAAGUUACAAUUAAGGAUAUGAUAUACGAAUACGAGGAAGUGAUGGAACAAAGUUAUAUUACAUCUCUUGUUAAAGCUUUUAAAAAAAAUGUUACCGAUGGUUUCUUCAAUUUUAUUAUACUGGAUUGUAUAAACGAAAAAAUAUCCGACUAUGAAGAGAUGUGGAGUUUUGCUAAAACAAAAGGUUUCAAGGUAUACGUAUGCGAGAUGGAAAUGGAUUUACAAAUUUGUUUAAAAAGAAAUAUUCAUAAUCGCACAGAAGAUGAAAUAAAUAGAAUUAUAGAUUAUUUUGAACCAACUCCAAGUUAUCAUCAAAAAUUAGAUGUUAAUUCAAUGUUGCAGGAACAAGCAAUUGAAGAAGUUCAUAUGGAAGAUAGUGAAGAAACGCAGGAGAAAUCAUCUCAGCAAAAUGAAGACAGCCAAGAUAGUCAAGAUGAUAUGCAAGAUACUAUUGGAGUUAGCAAAUGGGAACGUAUGGAAGCUGAAGAUAAAUUAGAUCGAUUGGAUGGACUUGCAAAAAAGAAAAAUGAAGGAAAGGUACAAACUAUGAAAGAUUUUCUUCAAGUUCCUGACUAUUAUAAUAUGGAAGAUACUUCCGGUAAAAAACGAGUGAGAUGGGCAGAUUUAGAAGAACGUAAAGAACAAGAAAAAAUGCGCGCUGUAGGAUUUGUAGUUGGUCACACUAAUUGGGAUCGUAUGAUGGAUCCUACAAAAGGAGGAAGCGCCUUAACACGCACAAAGUAUAUAUAAUUUAACUUUAUUUCUAGGUUACCUAGAAAAGAUCACAAAUAAAAUUAAUAUUAAUCGCGUGUUUUUUUCACUAUCAUAAUGACAUUUUUAUUCGACUACAGUAGUGUACAGAAGUGAAAGUGCAAGAUGUCUACAAAUAUUAAAAUUCUUCAGAUGAUGUACGAUUCUAAUGCAGCCUUAUAGAAAUUAUAUUUAUAAUUAGGCUAGUAUAAAUCUUGUUAAUUUAUGUAAAGCAUGCUGUAAUUAUUGUAUAUAAUAUUAAUGAAAUUGUUUUCAUUACAAAUUUUUAUAUUUAGUUUAUGCAUAAUAGUAAUAGUAAUAAUAAUAAUAAUAAUAAAAAUAAUAAUAAUAGUAACAACAACAACAAUAUAAUAUUAAUAA
rnacentral:misc_RNA from 1 species